CCUUUUGUCUUUUUCUUUUUCUUUCCCACGCAAGGCUUGGGCUCGUGCGGCUUCCGAAGGGAAGCAGGUCGUCGGUCCGGAGGGGCAGCUCCGGCGAAGGUGAACCGGCAGUGACUGGUGGACUGACGGCGAAGGAGCGGGCAGCAGUAGCUUCCGGCAACGGUCGCGACGAGAACGGCUUCUGGCGUUGCGAAAGGCUUGGGCGCCGCUGCUGGUGUCGGGCAGAGAUGGUGGAGUUGCUGCAGGUGUCGAGGACGGGCAGAGGCGCGGGAUUGCAGCGGCAGCUGCGUCUGGAACUCGCCGGAUGGAAGAAGGUGGCGGUGGGGGGUUGUUGCAGGGGCACCUGGUCGUCACGGGUCCACGCGGGCUGAGCAAGGGUGGCGUCGGGGCAGAGGAGAGCGGGGCGCUGGGACUCCGGUGCUGCAGAUCGGCGACGGGGCGGUGCGAGCUUCAGGCAGCGUCGUCGGAGUUCGGGGGCGUACGGCUUCGCUGGUGCAGGCGCGGCGGCUGAGUGGCGCUCGGACGGGGGUACAGGCGGAGGCGAGCGACGUCUGCAGAAGCGGAGGCGCGAACAGAGGCGCUGUGACCGGCGGGCGAGUUGCUGCGGGUGCUCGAACAGAGGGCGGAGGCGCAGUGGCUGCGGAGGUGGUGCGGGCAGUGGUGCUCGGAGACCGGCUGAGGGUGCUGUGGACGGCGGAGCGACUGGCUCUCGGGCGGAGGGAGCGGUGGCCGGCUCGGAACUGGCGCGGUGGUGUGGGCUGCAGUGGCGAGGGAGUUAGGCGAGCUGC
rnacentral:lncRNA from 1 species